UUCUUCUACCUGUCCAUCUGGGCACGAAUGUCAUGCUCAUUGUCAUGGUAACUUCUCAGCGUUGAGAAGCAGUUGCCAAAGGAGACAGAUGUGGUCUCCCCACUGCGGAUGCAGGUGCCUGCAGAAGACUUCUGCUGUCCUGGGAAGGACCCCAAGCUACCCGAAUGGCCAGACACGCCUGAUGCUGAAGAGUUGCUGGCACUGCGCUCGCAGUGUACCCCAGGGAGAUGGAGGACGACCCUUGGAAGUUGCAAUUCCAGAUAAGGUACUGUGAUGAGAGCUGUUUGUGGAGCUGAAGACCAGGACAAGAGGUGCUGUGAACUUUCGUCUCCCAUUGAAGUUUUAGCUAUCUAAUCUAGGGGGGCUCCAGUUUUCCAUGAUGUGGACUGCUUCUUAACAGAGAUUGAGAGCGACAUGUCCACAAGACAUUCAGAGAAAGAAUGUCUCAGACUGCCUUCCUCCAUGUGCAAUCACA